rnacentral:tRNA from 1 species
GCCUGGCUGGCUCAGUUUGUAGAGCGUGAGGCUCUUGAUCUCAGGAUCAUGAGUUCGAGCCCCACAUUGGGUG